AAGGUGAUGCGACUCUGAGUUAAAACUCCAGCCGGAGUCUGCAUGCCCUCCAGCUUCAGGGUCCCCUCCUCUUGGGACACGUAGGUGGAGCCCCGAGCCCCCGAGUAAGUGAAAGGGCUCCUCGAACCACCCGCCCCCCGUCCCUGCACAUUAGGCCUCCCACCUGCACCCCGAAACUGCCUCCCUCUGUGCCCUGAGACACCCCAGAGUGAGUCUGAUAAGCGCGCUGUGGCUCCAAGGAAUCCAGAAUAUGGACUCAAGUCUCCUUGCCUUACAAAACCAAGUCACCUCGCUCCUUCAACAGAGACUGGCCGGUAGGGAGGACGGGCGCGGGGGACGGUCCCAAUUCCAGGUGGACUUACAGCAAGAGAUCCAACCCGCGCGCCCUUUGCCUGGACGGGAUCACCCGCUGGGACACCACCAAAGCGCAGAGCGCGCCCAGAAGGACCUGAGCGGCGACCCCCACCCCGCGGUCCAUACCCGUUCGGGGCCCGCGCUGGCCUCCGCGGUGGCCGUGACCCUGCAGGGAAACGCCGGGAGCGCCCCUCCCACGUGCGUCGCGGACCUCUUGGCCCCGCUCAGUCCCCCGGAGUUGGCAGAGGAUCGCUCCUAGCGCAGGACUCCGGGCAGCUCGUGUUUAGAACGGGAGCGCAAAUUCUAUUUCCAAGAGCUGUGACAACGUGAGCGGCCGCCCGCCAUUGCGCCGUCAUCAGGCUUGUUUACCAAUUUUAAGUCUUUGUCAUGCAGGAAAUGUGAUUUCAUCAAAGUAGAAAAUAAACGCAAAAGAAUGCCCAGCCCCUAACUCGAGGACCUGUGUAUCCAUUAUCUCGGGAUUCCUCCAAAGUAGUGUUAGUAAGCUCCAUCUAAGUAUUGAAGGAGCAUCAUGAUGAGUACAGUGGAAUCAACCCUGAAGAAGGUAGACGUGGCUUGGAGAAGAGUUAACAAUCCAUGGGAUGAAUGGCAGGACAUAGUUUGUCAUCUCUAUUUGGAUUAUGAGUGAGUGUAAGUGUCUGACGAUUGGAUUAGCUCCCUUUCUGAGAACUCAUGUGCCUGGCACCUUGAAUACAAUCCUUCCAGCAGCCCAGCAAGGUGGGGGCCUUUUAUCCCCAAUUUCAGCAUCAGAAAAUGAAGGCUCUGAGAAGCCUACUGACUUGUCUGCUAAGAAGUAACAGAGCCUGGGCAUUAAAACUGAGUCAGAUGGACUCUGAAAGCCCAUGUUCUUCCGCCUGCACUGCGCGGUCCCUCAGAGUGGCUGGCUGCCCAAGAGAGGGGUGGUGCAUGGCAGCCACCUAGCUGGAGAUGACGAUGGUGAAAUAAAGAGUAACCUCUAGGAAUAUGAGUUGUGUAGCUGUCUAAGCAACAGCUGGGAGUGGAGAAGUCUGCACUUACACACAUACAUUCAACCUCGGUCUCUCCUGCAGGGAUGCAGACUCUUGCUCUAUCUUCUCAAGCAAAUCCUCUGGUUUGCUUUUGCCAUGGAAAAGCAUCCCCAGAAAUUAUAGAAGAAACUGUGAUUAGGAAGAUAUGGAAGAGUUAGGAAGGUAGACCAAGAAUGAAAUUAGGAUAGAGACUGGGAAAAGAAAACCAUAGGGCCCCUUCCUCCAUGUGCCCUGCUGUGACGUGAUCCAUCAAGGGGUCACCAGUAUCAUUCGCAAGCCUUCAGGCCACAGAGACCAGCCACACUUCGACACUGGUCUUUGUCACAGGAGAGCAGAGGCGGUGGUGUGGAAGAAGAAUGACUCUCCUCCCUUUCCCACAUCACUUUCACCUGAAGAUCAGUUAGGCGGCCUUCUUGGCCCGCUUAGCAACCGCUAGGAGACAGGUGAGCCCAUUGUAGGAUAUUCUGGUCAACGUUUGCAUCAUUUAGGGGAAUGAAGAAGCAGGUAGUCGUUAGUUAAAAUUACUAGUUAAAAAAAUGGAUUCGCAUUUCAAAGCAAAAAUCAGAACAGAACAAAAACAUCCUCACUGUUUCAGGCAUCUGAGCUCUUUAGUGUGUUAGAAUCCAAAGGAUCCAAAAGUCACUCAAACAUCUACAGACUGAGGGUGGCUUACCUGGAUUCUAAAAGCUGCAUUCACUCCAGGACUCCCUGUAACGUAUAAAAUAUUAAUAUGCCUUAAACUGGAAAUGAAAUCUAACUGCCUCUGGGGACACUCCAACAGUCCUCUAUACCCAGACAGUAAGCCUGCAAGGAGAUUUAUGGAGAAGGAUUACAGUGGCGGUUUAAGAAGCAGCGUAAAACCUAACACAUGAUCUGGCCCCCAGCUGGCUAACUCACAGUCAGGAGAGCCCAGGGACACCUCUUUCCUGCCUCAUUGUGGACCAAGCGUAUGCAGAGCCACAUGUCUGGGGACCACCCUGCAUUCCAGCUAGUUGACUCAGUACAUUGCUUCAGGCGAAUUCUACAAUUGUGUGACCCAUCCAGUUUUUUUGCUCACCAGUCUCAUGCCCAGGGAGUGCCAGUGGCUCCAUUUCUCAGAUUCUCUACCAGAAGCAUGUCUGGCUUUGUUUCCCAAUGACACUUUCCUUGUGGUACUCAGCUAGUUUGCAGCCCCGGUUGUGCCUGGACUUAGGAGGUGGCCAAGGAGAGGAUGUGGACAGUGAGAAAGCAACAGCUGAGGGUCUCUCAUGACAGGGGGUGGGGGUGGGGAGAAGCCUGAGAUCAAAACUUGCCAUGGGAAAUUCAACAAAUCAAAACAAUGAGUAGCAGACUGGAGAGGAAUUCAAUGCCAUGACAUACAGUGGAGGAACUACUUGGGGCCUAACUGUGCUCUUACAGUAAAGCUUAAAUCAUGCUGUAUAGACAGCCAGCUGUGCUGUGAGACCAUCCCCAUGCCUGCAUGCUCUGUGGUGCCACUGUCAUCAUUUAUUUCCCUACAUAGCCUAAGGGGAAUUCAGUAUUAAAAUAGUCUGCUCAACAAACAAGUCAAAUGACUUCUAAGUAAGAUGAAGUGAUGGCCCAGGCAUACCCACGGGGCUGGGCACACUAUUUGCAGGCUUAAUCCAUAGACUCAAUCCUCCCUGGGCUAGCAAGCCUGCAGCUAUAUCUACUCAGUGGUAGAGAGAAGAGAUGGAAAAUUGGGGUCCACACUUGGGGACCUCUCCCCCCCAAAAAAGAUCAUUUUUUCAAUAUUUGUAAGUGAUUACAUAGCUUUGUGACCUAGAAUGUAAAGUUGUUUUCAUUUGUCCUUCCUUUAAAUGUUUGUAUUCAUUGCAUUGAAUCUCUCUUUUUAUUCCUCUUGAACACUUAUUUUUGUUGUGUUUCCUUGUUCUCAAUAAAAA